rnacentral:rRNA from 1 species
UUUUAUGGAGAGUUUGAUCCUGGCUCAGAGUGAACGCUGGCGGCGUGCCUAAUACAUGCAAGUCGAACGAUGAAGCUUCUAGCUUGCUAGAGUGCUGAUUAGUGGCGCACGGGUGAGUAA